UACGAAGGGGGCUAGCGUUGCUCGGAAUCACUGGGCGUAAAGGGAGCGUAGGCGGACAUUUAAGUCAGAGGUGAAAUCCCGGAGCUUAACUUCGGAACUGCCUUUGAUACUGGGUGUCUUGAGUGUGAGAGAGGUAUGUGGAACUCCGAGUGUAGAGGCGAAAUUCGUAGAUAUUCGGAAGAACACCAGUGGCGAAGGCGACAUACUGGCUCAUUACUGACGCUGAGGCUCGAAAGCGUGGGGAGCAAACAGG
rnacentral:rRNA from 1 species